GUAAUAAUUCCUUGGGAUGAACUAGAACUGAGAAAGGAAGGAAUUCACCGAUAAAAGUUGUUCAAAGCUGGAAAAUUCUGUUCAAAGUUAUUGCAUGCCACCCGAUGAUAAAAAGCUGCAAUUUUUGAGUCAUUUCUCCUUCAAAAUGUGUUAGAUUAUGUCUUCAUGCAUUAUAUAUAUUCCAUAGUAUACAUAUCUUGAACUUGGUGCAGUACUUGACCUGAACUCAAGUGGAAUGAGUGUAAAAUAUGAAGAAACUUUGCUGAAUUUCUGUUUGGACACUACAUGAAGGAUCAUAAGAUGAAGCUGGAAAUUUCCAGCUUUAUCUCUAGAAAAUUUUGUUAGUUUAGUCAAAAACUCACUUCAUAUAACUGCCAUCUUCCUAAUCCAGUCAUCCAUGUGUUAUUUGAGGAGCUAAAAGCAAGAAAAGAUUGACUUCAAAGCAAUCUCAAAAGCUGGAAUUUUCUGCAUAGCAAAUCGAGAGGGAAAAGCUGCAAUUUUGGUUAUUUCUCUAAAAGAGUUGAACUCCACACAAGGAGUAAUACCUGACCGUGAUCCGUAAAGGCACUACAUCUUUGAUCGGGGAUGGAUUUGAUCAAGAGCUUUCUUAGCUUUACAUUGUUUUGGACUUGUAUUUGAGAGUGUAACCUUUUACUUAAGUAGACCUUACUUUUGACUCCUGUAAGUUUAAACCUAUAAGUUCAACUCUUGUUAUGUAAGUUGACUUUUGGUUAUAGGUAUACUAAGCUUUUGGA